ensembl:lincRNA 9530059O14Rik RIKEN cDNA 9530059O14 gene
CGCCCGCUCGCUCGAGCUCGGCGCGGACCCGCCCGGGAGCGCUCCUCGCAGCAGCUGCCCGGGUUCCCACCGCCCUACCGGGCGCGAGCGAUCAGACUACCUCGGAGGGCGCGCUCAGACACCCAGAUGUCCGGCCACCUCAGUGGGUACCCUCGGCACCCUGUGAUCCGACCACCCGCGGAGGCGCGCUAGCCCUCUGGGUGGGCGUGCUGGGCUUCUCUGCGGCGGAAGUCUGGACCACAGAUUGUGACUUCUUUUCUAGCAGUAGGUGUUGACUGGUCCGACUGCUGCCCUUCUGCCCAAGAGUAGUUCAAACUUGCCUCCUCAGGCCCAUCAAAGUCUUCCAGGAUCACGCAGAGGACCACGCCACAGUCGGAAGUGAGGUAAACAAGUCUCCUCAUUGCUAUAUUUUGUAAUUAUCAGACAAGAGAGUGGAGUUCCCGCCUGAAGCCCCUCAGGCCUGUGUGAAGCUUAACCAUGUAUGUAAUCAAUGUAGGUGUGAUCAGUUUUCAGAUCCAUGCAAAUGUGAGCUGACUUUCCCCUGAUGUUUGCUGAGUGCAUGCCAACAGCAUUCUGCAUGGCUGACCUGCCUCAGCAACCAAAUCUCUGGAACUGCAUAUGCAGAGGCUCUGUGCUGUGGCCAUUUUAUAAAUGAGCCACGGGAAGGCCAGAGAAAGAAACAGCAUGCUCCAAGUCAGAGCAGAAGGCAGCUUCCCUAGGAUCUGUUUAACGUUUGCUUCUUUACAACACAGGAUCUCGUGAAACCCAAGCUAGCCUCAGACUCAACUGCAUAGCUGAGGAUACCCUUGAACUUGAUUCUCUAAUAUUUCUACCUCACACCCAGUUCAUGAGGUAAUGCGGAUAGAACCCAGGGCUUCCUGAAUACUAGGAAGGCACUCUACCAACUGAGCUACAUCCCCAGACCCUCCUCUGGGGAUAAGCCCAGGUUCAAAUCCAAGGCCUUAACAAUACCGGGACAGACAUAAGACACAGCACUCUACGAGACCUGGGCAUGCUCCUACCCUGUCUAGUGAUGGCAAAAGCCAUCUUUUUAACAGCCCACGUUAUGAUUCUACCAUCAGACCAGAGAGGCCCUAGAUAGCCCAGCUUCCCAUUGUAAGUCAUCUUCAACAUGUUUAACCGAUGGCUGUGUGGGACUGCUAGAAAGUUUGGAAAUCACCAAGAGCUUUGACUUUCCUGCCCACAAAAACAGUUGGCCUUGGCAGAUGUCCAAUGCGUUGACCUUAGAUCCAUUUAAUGAAAACCCUAUUAAUUCAAAAAGAAAGAAAGAAAAUAAGGCAAAAUAGGACAGGCAGUAGAAAGAUCUUUACAAAAAUCUUGUGUGUCCUUCUUCCACUGUUGCCUUGACCAGACAGGGCCACAAAGCUGAUACGACAGGAUUAGGACAAUUGCUUUGUUAACACACAAGCACAGCGUGACAUGAACUCCAGGAAAGGCAUUUGGCAGGAUUAACCUGCUGAGGAUAAAGAUGUAGCAGACAGGACCUGAAUUAAUGGACUGAUAUGGCCAAAGUGGAGAAAUCUAUUUGCAUGUAAUAUUAACUGUACUAAUAAACUCCAGGCGGGGAUCCAACAGCCCGGGAGCCUCUUUGAACCAGGACUUGAUUCCUGCACAUCCUAUCUCUGACAUCUGUUAAGAUGUGUGAGUGUAAGCCGGCUGCCUGCAAAUUACCACUCUGUCCUUGGUGCCUGCAAUAGCACAGGCCCUUUACUGACUCCAACUCAAGCAGAUCCCACUUACAAUAUUAUUUACAACCUAUGGAAAAGCAAUAAAGAAAUGCAGGUUCAACACAUGUAGAAAAUAUCCACCAGGGCCUGGAGAGAUGGCUCAGUAAUUAAGAGCCCUGGCUAUUCCUCCAGAGGACCCGGGUUCAAUUUGUAGCAUCCACGGGGCAGCUAAGAGUCAUCUAAAGCCCAUCUGAAGCCCUCUUCUGACAUCUGCAGGCAUGGUGCACACAUGGUACAUACAUACACAUGC